GUUUUGAUGACAUUUCAGAUCUCACUGGGGAAUUUCCAUCUUUUAAAGACAAGACGACACCUGCAUUGUAGACUCAGAUCAGAAGAGUCCUCAUUAAUAAGAUACUGGAUGAUUUGUGAACACGUUGGACUCUGCAGGAACAGCAAAACACCUUCAACAUGAAGUGGCUUCUUGCAGGAAUUGUUCUGUUUCUAAUUGUGGAAGCCAGUACGCAGAGCUGCAAGUUUCGUAUUGGUGCUGGAGUAAGUUGUAACAAGUGGAGCGUAUACACGGAUAUGAGGGCCGACGAGAGAUACUCAGAUGAGUACAAGUACAAGUAUGACAGAGGAAACUAUGAUGCUACCUGGAGAAGAGCAAGGGGCAGGCGGGCUGUUUAAGUUAGCAGAGAUGGCAGAGAGUGGGUGCAGCAAGUAACAGGGAUUGCUGCAGGGGACUCUGCUGCUGAUCAGGACGCAAACAAGUGGGGGCGCAAUGGCAGAGAUUCCUUCAAAUUGUUUGUAUAAAAGCCAUUAUUGGCCGUACAGUUUGAGGGGAAUUGCUGUUGGAAUCAUGUUCACUUUAGAACCGCCAUAAUAUUUCUGAACUCGUUAUAAAAGAGUCGAGCCCGGAAUGGUGUUCAUGUCAUGACUUGUGUGCAUCCUUGUGUUGGCUACAGUUGAUGUGCCUAAUCCCAAACUGUUAGAAGAAGUGAGAAGAGUUUGUCUUUCUAUAUUCAUGUCUGUGCUGAUGAUUACGUUUGCCUUGAAGCAAUAAAGAUCUAUCAAAAAUGUAAA